ACGCUCGACACCUACGGGAGGCAGCAGUGGGGAAUAUUGCACAAUGGGGGAAACCCUGAUGCAGCGACGCCGCGUGGAGGAAGAAGGUCUUCGGAUUGUAAACUCCUGUUGUUGGGGAAAAAGAGGAUGGUACCCAACAAGGAAGUGACGGCUAACUACGUGCAGCAGCCGGGUAAUCUGAGCGGGCUGGCAAGGC
rnacentral:rRNA from 1 species